UACGUAGGGGGCAAGCGUUGUCCGGAAUCAUUGGGCGUAAAGCGCGUGUAGGCGGCCCGGUAAGUCCGCUGUGAAAGUCGGGGGCUCAACCCUCGGAUGCCGGUGGAUACUGUCGGGCUAGAGUGCGGGAGAGGCGAGUGGAAUUCCUGGUGUAGCGGUGAAAUGCGCAGAUAUCAGGAGGAACACCAAUUGCGAAAGGCAGCUCGCUGGAACGUUACUGACGCUGAGACGCGAAAGCGUGGGGAGCAAACAGG
rnacentral:rRNA from 1 species